CAACUUGAGAGUUUGAUCCUGGCUCAGAAUCAACGCUGGCGGCGUGCCUCAUACAUGCAAGUCGAACGCGAAAGCGGCCUUCGGGCCGCGAGUAGAGUGGCAGACGGGUGAGUAACGCGUGGGUGACCUGCCUUCGAGUGGGGGAUAACCUUCCGAAAGGGGGGCUAAUACCGCAUGACAUUCCGCUCUUGGAUGAGUGGUGAUCAAAGCUGGGGAUCUUCGGACCUGGCGCUUGAAGAGGGACUCGCGUCCGAUUAGCUAGUUGGUGAGGUAGCGGCUCACCAAGGCGACGAUCGGUAGCCGGCCUGAGAGGGCGGACGGCCACACUG
rnacentral:rRNA from 1 species